AUGCUCACUUCGGCAGCACAUAUACUAAAAUUGGAACAAGACAGAGAUUAGCAUGGCCCUGUGCAAGGAUGACAUGCAAAUUUUUGAAUUGUUCUAUACUUUU